rnacentral:lncRNA from 1 species
CACCCCUUCAUAGAUGGUCAGGUGCUAGGAACAACUUGAGAUUAAAAAAAAACGAUAUAAUCGAUCAAAAAGCUCUAGAAACACGUGUCAGUUGACCUUUGACCUACACCUUAAAACAUGCGUGUAUUGGCAAAUCAAAAUUCAAUAAAACAAGAAUGUGUCCUCAGUACACGAACGCCCCACUCGCACUAUCAUUUUCUAUGUUCAGUGGACCGUGAAAUUGGGGUAAAAUCUCUAAUUUGGCAUUAAAAUUAGAAAGAUCAUAUCAUAGGGAACAUGUGUACCAAGUUUGAAGUCGAUUGGACUUCAACUUCAUCAAAAACUACCUCGACCAAAAACUUUAACCUGAAGCGGGACAGAC